rnacentral:piRNA from 1 species
UGUGCAUGGAAAGGCCUGGAGGUCCUUCU